AGAUUGAACGCUGGUGGCGUGCCUAACACAUGCAAGUCGAGCGGUAACAGGCGUAGCAAUACGUGCUGACGAGCGGCGAACGGGUGAGCAAUGCUUCGGAAUCUGCCCAAUGAUGGGGAAUAACCAGUCGAAAGAUUGGCUAAUACCGCAUACGCCCUACGGGGGAAAGCGGGGGUCGCAAGACCUCGCGUCGAUGGAUGAGCCGAAGUCGGAUUAGCUAGUUGGUAGGGUAACGGCCUACCAAGGCGACGAUCCGUAGCUGGUCUGAGAGGACGACCAGCCACACUGGGACUGAGACACGGCCCAGACUACCUACGGGAGGGCAGGCAGGUGGGGGAAUAGUUGGGAACAAGUGGGGGGCAACCCGUGGAUCCAGCCGACGCCGCGUGUGGUAGGAAGAAGGCCGUGGUCGGGUUAGUAAAGCUACGUUUUAGGUAGGGUAGUAGAAAA
rnacentral:rRNA from 1 species